AGUGAACGCUGGCGGUAGGCCUAACACAUGCAAGUCGAACGGCAGCACAGUAAGAGCUUGCUCUUACGGGUGGCGAGUGGCGGACGGGUGGGGAAUAUAUCGGAAUCUACUUUUUCGUGGGGGAUAACGUAGGGAAACUUACGCUAAUACCGCAUACGACCUACGGGUGAAAGCAGGGGAUCUUCGGACCUUGCGCGAUUGAAUGAGCCGAUGGCGGAUUAGCUAGUUGGCGGGGUAAAGGCCCACCAAGGCGACGAUCCGUAGCUGGUCUGAGAGGAUGAUCAGCCACACUGGAACUGAGACACGGUCCAGACUCCUACGGGAGGCAGCAGUGGGGAAUAUUGGACAAUGGGCGCAAGCCUGAUCCAGCCAUACCGCGUGGGUGAAGAAGGCCUUCGGGUUGUAAAGCCCUUUUGUUGGGAAAGAAAAGCAGCAGGUUAAUACCCCGCUGUUCUGACGGUACCCAAAGAAUAAGCACCGGCUAACUUCGUG
rnacentral:rRNA from 1 species